GCGGCAGCCAUUGCUCCUCACCACAUCGAGCUACACACAAGCAGCAGCAGCAGCACAGGGAGGAGUUUCUUGGAGACUUGGGGCGCCAUGUCGGACAAGUGCGGCAACUGCGACUGCGCUGACAAGUCCCAGUGCGUGAAGAAGGGAAACAGCUAUGGUGUCGUCCUAGUCGACACCCAGGAGAGCCGCUUGGAGGAGAUCGCCGGCGCCGGAGCUGAGAACGGCGGGUGCAACUGCGGCUCCAACUGCACCUGCACCGACUGCAAGUGCGGCAAGUGAUCAAGCCGUCGUCAUGCACUGAUCCGAUCCAUGCACUACCUCAAUUAAUUAAUUAACUAGUCUAUAUACACAAUAAAAUUCGCCCAAUUAUACGUGUAUGUGGUUUUUGUGUGUUCAUUGCUCAUCAACUAGUUAAUUAAACCCCUGGAUCUAUAUAUCGAUCAAGGUAUAUAUGCCUAUCUGUGUGAUGUGUGUACGGGUACCAGUGUGCCAUACGCCGUGAAGACGUGAAGUUAAUGCAUAUCGUGUAUUCGUGUGGUUUGUCUCUAGUAAAACUAAUUUUCUAUUUGUCA